rnacentral:rRNA from 1 species
CCUACGGGAGGCAGCAGUGAGGAAUAUUGGUCAAUGGACGAGAGUCUGAACCAGCCAAGUAGCGUGAAGGAUGACUGCCCUAUGGGUUGUAAACUUCUUUUAUAUGGGAAUAAAAUGUUCCACGUGUGGGAUUUUGUAUGUACCAUAUGAAUAAGGAUCGGCUAACUCCGUGCCAGCAGCCGCGGUAAUACGGAGGAGCCGAGCGUUAUCCGGAUUUAUUGGGUUUAAAGGGAGCGUAGGUGGAUUGUUAAGUCAGUUGUGAAAGUUUGCGGCUCAACCGUAAAAUUGCAGUUGAAACUGGCAGUCUUGAGUACAGUAGAGGUGUGCGGAAUUCGUGGUGUAGCGGUGAAAUGCUUAGAUAUCACGAAGAACUCCGAUUGCGAAGGCAGUUCACUGGACUGUAACUGACACUGAGGCUCGAAAGUGUGGGUAUCAAACAGGAUUAGAUACCCGAGUAGUC